UGUGGAUCUAUCUGCGUGUCUGUAUGUGGAUCUACAUGUGUGUCAGUGAAUCCAAGGGAAGCCACACUCCUGCACACAAAAGGUAGGAAGCAGGAGGGUGGGUAAAAAAAAGUAAAUUUUGCAUGUGUGUCUGUUUGUGUGUGUCUGUAUGUAUGCAUGUCUGUUGAUCUAUCUGUGUGUCUGUCUAUGUAUCUAUGUCUGUAUGUGGAUCUACAUGUGUGUCAGUGUGUGCCACUGUGUAUCUGUAU